rnacentral:misc_RNA from 1 species
UGAAGAUUGCAAGAGACGAUACAAGCAAAUGAAGCAAAGAUGUGGCAAUAACUAUGCAAAUGAUGAUCAUAAUCUCAAAAUUGAUUACAUGGCUUAAAAUUGGCAAAUUGCUACUACCAACUAAAUGAUUCUCCUAUCUGCUUUCUAACCAAGUAGCUGUGGAAGAAUUUUUUAACCAAAUAGUUGCGUCAGAGUAAUAUUACAUUUCUCCAGGAAGCAUUGUGUCUUCUGUGAUCUGAUCACAGAAACCUACACCCUGAAGAGAGCAAAACGGUUCUAAGUUAUUUAUCUUGGCAACUCAGUUUUAAGUUAUUUCAACUCAAGCCAGGGGAUGAGGAUAUGACAUUUACGUCUCCAAUAAGGUGAGCCACACAUUUGUUCUCAGCUAGCAACUCAGCUUCUGUCUGCAGAAGACAUUACACACAAGCAGCAAAUCUAUGUUCAAUUCUAGGCCAUACAUGGAUCUAACUUGAAAUUAUGUGGAAUUUGAGUCAUUUCAUGCGAAACUUCAGUGUCUAUAUUGGUGCCUACGAUAUAUCAAUCUUUCGACUCCAUUUCACCAAGUCAACAUAUUCAGUUUCUUCACAAUAGAAUUUAAUACGACAUUGAAAUAACUCUCUAAAAUGCUAUCAAAUGGAGGGAAUUAUUUCACCAUUUUCCAUAUGGUCCUCACUGGAAUAUUUGUUAAAUAAGGAUACAUACCUAAGCUAUUUUCUUUCGAAGGUAGUCGUCAAAUAUUACAUCUUUGAUGAGUUCAUAAUCACCAUCUCCUUUUGAUCUGCAAGGCAUGCUGAAAACUAGACCCUCUGCAAUGCCAUAAAGAUUUCCAUUAGUAUAGACCUGUAUUUGCAUGUAAGCUGUUAGACUAAUAAAUGCAGAAAACCUUAACAAAUGAAGACGUUCACUGUUUAAUUACACUCUGACAUUUGCUCAUCAUAUAGAAGAUAUCUUCUAAUCAGGUGUAAAGAACAUGGUACUAUUCUUUUUUGAGGGAAGCAGCCAGUUCAAUUCAAACACCAUGAUAAUCCUAACAGGAUGACAUCACAAUUGUCUUCAGUGUUUUCUCUGAAUAUUGAAAGGUUUUAGCUUCAAAAUUUCCUCUUAUCAAUUAACAUAAUCAAUUAAGGCAUCUCAUACUAUGUGGUUAUUCUCGAUGCAUUAGUCUGGUAUGUGCAUCUAAAACCAGCAGCAUAAAGGGAUAAUAAGCAUGUGUAAAUCAAGAGGAAUUGAACUCACUCCAGAAGAAAACCAAUCACCCUCAGGGGUGGGGAUUAUUAGAGACUUUAUAGCAUCAACAAUGGACACAGCAGUUGAUGCAGCGGAAGAUCGUCCCCAUUUCUGAAUAAGCACUCCACCUCUCUUCUGGACUAUCUCAGUGAACUCCUCUUCUAACCACUUGUGAUCUUUGAUAACCUCUUUUACAGGUAAACCAUUGAUUCUAGCAUUUAGAAAGUCUGGAACCUGAGUGGUUGAGUGAUUUCCCCAGAUGGUCACAUUUGACACUUUAUCAUAGAACACACCUGCUUUUAGGGCAAGCUGGCAUUUUGCCCUGUUCUCAUCUAACCUAGUCAAAGCAUGGAAAUUCUUUGCAGGUAUAUUUGGAGCAUUUUUCAAACAAAUUAAAGCAUUGGUGUUACAAGGGUUACCCACUACUAUCACCUUGACAUUGCGAGAUGCAACAGCAUUGAGAGCCUUUCCCUGCUCAGCAUAAAUCUGCCCGUUGAUAUCUAGUAAGCCGGCUCGUUCCAUGCCAGGCCCUCGUGGCUUUGCUCCAAUCAACAAAGCCCAUUCAAUGUCUUCAAACACUUCAUAAGGAUUUAUUCCAAUGCUCACCUCCCUCAACAAAGGAUACAACGAAUCCUCAAGUUCCAUUGCAACUCCUUCAAGAGCUUGAAAUGAUCUUUCAGAUCCCAACAGUUUUAAUGCGAUUGGUUGAUCUGGCCCAAAAACCUCGCCAGAUGCAAGUUUAAAAAGUAGAUGAUUAGAUAUCAUCCCAGCAGCACCAGAAACUGCUAUAUUAAUUAGUUUCUUCCAUGAUUUUGUCUCCUCUUCAGCCCUGAGAUCAUAUGUUUGGCAGAAAACACCAAAGCAUUCAGACUUGUCCUUGGGCUUUUGGGUCUGGACUGGAACUGGGGCUUGAACUUGAUUUAUAGAGCAAGUGAUAGUAGUGUUUCGAGGUCUAAAGGAGCGGCGAAAGCGAAGAGAGAGAUGGGUGGAAGAAAGUGAGAGCUGGGAAGAAGAGCGGAGACGAGUAGUGGUGUGGGUAUAUGCAGAUGCAGGGGAUGUUAGCUCUGCCACCGCCAUGGCAGCUGAAAAAACUUGUUAGUUGUAAUUACCAGGCUGUGAGGUAGAGAAAGAAAGCGAAUGAGAGAAGGUCUUCUGGUUGAGAGAGGCGCUGGGAAGAAGAGCGGAGACGA